AGCAGCCGCGGUAAUUCCAGCUCCAAUAGCGUAUAUUAAAGUUGUUGCAGUUAAAAAGCUCGUAGUUGAAUUUCGGGGUUCUACCGUUGGUCGGGCUUUGUCUGUACUGGCGUGUAGAAUUUCUACCUUCUGGGGAACCAUCAUGUUAUUAAUUUAACGUGGUGGGAAACCAGGACCUUUACCUUGAAAAAAUUAGAGUGUUCAAAGCAGGCUUUAUGUCUGAAUACAUUAGCAUGGAAUAAUAAAAUAGGACGGUGGUCCUGUUUUGUUGGUUUCUGAAUCACCGUAAUGAUUAAUAGGGAUAGUUGGGGGCAUUAGUAUUCAAUUGUCAGAGGUGAAAUUCUUGGAUUUAUUGAAGACUAACUUCUGCGAAAGCAUUUGCCAAGGAUGUUUUCAUUAAUCAAGAACGAAAGUUAGGGGAUCGAAGACGAUCAGAUACCGUCGUAGUCUUAACCAUAAACUAUGCCGACUAGGGAUCGGACGAUGUUAAUUUUUAAUGACUCAUUC
rnacentral:rRNA from 1 species